UUCGCCCUUAGAGUUUGAUCCUGGCUCAGAGCGAACGCUGGCGGCAGGCUUAACACAUGCAAGUCGAACGCAUCCUUCGGGAUGAGUGGCAGACGGGUGAGUAACACGUGGGAACGUGCCCUCCGGUCUGGGAUAACCCUGGGAAACUAGGGCUAAUACCGGAUACGUGCUUUGGCAGAAAGGUUUACUGCCGGAGGAUCGGCCCGCGUCUGAUUAGCUAGUUGGUGGGGUAACGGCCUACCAAGGCGACGAUCAGUAGCUGGUCUGAGAGGAUGAUCAGCCACACUGGGACUGAGACACGGCCCAGACUCCUACGGGAG
rnacentral:rRNA from 1 species